AUGUGUUGGCCAAAGAGUCCAGACUGGAUGGUUGUGCAGUGCCCCCUACGAUUUCCGUUCACGCCACGGGCUGCGAGCAGCAUUACCAGAUCCUCCUGCUUCCAGAUGCCUGGGUUUGCUAUUUUGGAGCUACAUCAGCAAACUGGCAGUAGUGAGCCACUUGUGGAAGAGGCUUCCCCCGGUCCUGCUGGAAAUGAAGCCCUGUUGUGCUCCGUCAGGCCAUGGGGAGCCGCGGAGGCAUCAGAGUCCUCUCUGGGUUCCUCACACCUCCCACUGCCCCCUUUUUAUUUGGAAAACUAGCAAAUGAGGAUUUCCUCGAUCCACACAUCCUUAUCACCUGCCCUCCCAAUAUCUCGAUAUAGUCAGACCACAUUUUGAGUACCUUCAAUUGCUGGAUUACUUCGUAACUUUAAGAAGUGUAAGUAGACCUUGAUUUCUUGUUGUCUUAUAAGUAUCAAGAGUAUGUCAGCUUCCA
rnacentral:lncRNA from 1 species